GGGAUUCAUAGUACAACAGGAGUCUUCUGUAACAUCCAAUACGUGUUAAAUAUGUUUUACAUACAUCCAUGACUGAAUGGUUUCACAAACUCCCUUUAAAGGUUUUGUAAGAAAGUUGUAACAGGCCUCAUUCACCAGUCCAGAGAUGAACCUAGAGACACCAAAAACAUCAACGUUUAGAGCAGCUUGGAGAUUAUUACCCAUAUAAGGGGGGAGCAAAGAGCUGAUUUACCCCUACGGUCAAAUGCAUCUAUAGUUUUUAAUGAAGUGGUCGCUGCAUUCAUUUAGAUUAUUUCAACAUAGUCUAGAACCAGUAAGAACAUAGAUUGAAUGAUUGGCUUUGUGCUAUUGAGCAAGAGGCCUGACCCAUUUCUAUGUAAGAAGCCACACUUUUUAUAUUCAGCUUCUGAAUUAACUCAUAAAUAUGUUUUUAAGUCAGCUUAACGUAUAUACUAGUACAACAUACUAGGUACAUACACUUCAAUCAUUAGAAUAAUUUGCAUAAUGUAGUUCAGAUAGAGCACGAUCAGCAGGGCGGGCGAUAGAGUACACAACUGUAUCAACGGCUUGAAUUUCUGACAAAAUAAUAUUAUCAAUGUAUACAAUAUUUUUGUUUAUUAGACCUACCAACAUAGAACACAAUAGUGUAUAUCAGGGGUAACGCCCGUUUUCAUGGUUAAUUGAUAGGUGUUCCAUUCUGUGGACUGAGAAUCCAAAAUGCUUUGCACAACAUAUACAUUUCAUCGUCAUGUCUUUCAUUAUGCAGACAUUUUGUUUUAUUAGACUAUAUUUCUCAUUAGGAAUACGGUUGUCACCCCCCUUGGAGGCUUGGUGCAUGUACAAAGAAAAAGUACCAAAUUCAACCAUGGGUGGCUGUUAACUAAAAUAAUGGCAAUGCGUGUAGUCGUGUUAAGGUUUUCAUUGUUUUCUUGUCAGAGUUUUAUGGUUUUGCAUAUGACUGUGCAUUAUAUGCUGUCGUAAUAGGGUUGAGGAUCAGAUCAAGCUGUCACGAUCGUCAUGGGUAAUAAGAAGCGGACCAAAGCGUUACGUGGUGUGAAUGCAUCGUUUUAAUGGAUGACGAAAACACAAAGUAAACUGAACAAGCCAAUAAAUGAACAACGACCGUGACGCUAUAUAUCAAAUGUGCUGACACAAGCACCUAACAUAGACAAUCACCCAACAAUGACAACACAGGCUACCUAAAUAUGGUUCCCCAUCAGAGACAAUGACUAACACCGGCCUCUGAUGGGGAAAAUCAUCUCAGGCCCAACACAGAAAAAGACAAACUAGACAUACAGCAUCGAAUGCCCACUCAGAUCACACCCAUACCAAACAAAACCUAAAAACAUACAUAGCAAACUAUGGUCCGGGCGUGACACAAACCUAUUGGGAAUUCUUGAUCAAUCAAAAUGUACCUGUUUUCCGUAUAGAAUGACUUGUAUACAGAUUAUAUUACAACUUUGUGUUUUGGCUUAGUGGUUGUUUCUUUACUAACUAGGAAAACUCAACAGUGUGUAAGUCUGAGAAACAUUGAGCUGGUUGGUUUGUUGUUGAAAGCUUGAAAUGUACACACAUUGAGAAGUGAUAUUGCAGCAACAGUUUUAAAGUGGGUAAUCGUAUUAUAUAUAUAUAUAUAUAUAUAUAUAUAUAUAUAUAUAUAUAUCCUUGCAUGUUUGAAUUAGAGCUCCUUUAAAGUGUUUUAGAUUAUGAUAAUAAUGUUAUAUUAUUUUUAUAAUAAUACAUAUCUGCAAACCCAAUGUAUUUCUGAAAACCCCUUUUUGCAUCUUCAAUAGUUGUAGAUGUUCCAACGUUCGUAGACCUUUCAUACAAAAAGACAUAAUACUGUCUGUUUCAUCGGUUCCUCCGAUGUCGUUCAGAGUCCCUAAUGCAUCCAAGUCACCCGUUGUGUCAGUGUUUCAUCGGUUCUUCCGAUGUCGUUCAGAGUCCCUAACGCAUCCAAGUCACCCUAUGUGUCCGAUGUCCAUCAUACCUAAUAAAAUAAAAUAAAUAUAUAAAUCGUUGUCCCCCCUGUUUAAAACACAAAUAACUCGUGUUUAAUAUUACAAUAAUAUCACAAUAAUAUUCAAACAAAACUUUAAAUAUAUUUUUCACUUACUCAGCUCCCGAAAUAUCCAUUAGGAGGGCUUCACAGACAUGUUAUCUGUCCUGGGACUGCUGCCUGUUGUCUUACGAAGUGGUUCAGAGUGCACACUUUUCUUUUUUUAAUAUAUAAAUAUUCUUGGGUAUGUGAUUAUUUGGAUUUACGCCUAAAAAAUGUGUGAUCGUGAAGGGCUACGUAAAGGACAGGGCGCAGUUUGCUUCUGAGAAUCUACGUCUAACAGUCGCUUCCCAAUCACUUAUGUCCAGUAGCCUUCAGAAAUAUCCAUUAGGAGGGAUUCACUUAUUCACAUCUCUUUUUUAAUCUGUCCUGGCAGCGAAAUAUUCGGGCCUGUGUGUUUGCGCUAAAGCUGUGGUAACAUAGUGUUAAAGUAUAUGCUCCACGUUCUGUCCCUAACUAUCGAAAGUACGGAAUGAGUUUCGGGAGAUAUCCUGUAUGCAACACUUUGUACGUUUGGUUUAGAGACCAAAAGGCGGUGAAUUCAAAGAGCCAUUCUGUCUACAACCGGUUUGGUGGGGUCCCGGUGCGUUGAUUAGAUAUCAGUGUUUAACCCCGGGCGGUCGGCCGAUAUCUGGACAUGCCUUAUGCCGGAUAGUGCAAACCUUGGUUUCAAACGAUUCUCUACAGAUAGAGCGCUGGGCCCCCUGUUGAACCCACACCCUUUGUUUUUGAAACGCACACACACACACUCCUGCUGCUCCGUCACACGCACACUCAUGCACGCACCCUGAUUUUCCAUGUCUUUUUCUUCGUGACUGUAACGGUUCUCUUUUGGUGAAGGAGAGUCGGACCAAAAUGCGGCGUGUAGAUUGCGAUCCAUGUUUAAUCAACAAACGUAAAACACGAAUCAAUACAAAAACUACAACAAAAAAAAGAACAACAACAAACGUGGAAACGUAACGAAAACCGAAACAGCCCUAUCUGGUGAAACCACAGCGACAGGAACAACGACACUAAGGACAAUCACCCACGACAAACUCAAAGAAUAUGGCUGCCUAAAUAUGGUUCCCAAUCAGAGACAACGAUAAACACCUGCCUCUGAGAACCACUCCAGACAGCCAUAGACUUUGCUAGAUAACCCCACUAGCUACAAUCCCAAUACAUACACACCAAAACCCCAAGACAAAAACACACCACAAUACAAAAACCCCAUGCCACACCCUGGCCUGACCCAAUACAUGAAGAAAAACACAAAAUACUUAGACCAGGGCGUGACAGUGACAGACCGGGGUGAUGUCUGGAAAGGACAUUUUCCUAUAGUUAAAGGGUGAGAUACAUUUUUAAAACCAGUGAUUUAAUUCCAAAAUAUUUAGUACAAACGUUUUAAAGACGUGUUAGAAUUAAUGACCAAAUUGUACUACUAUUUAAACAUGCAUCAUUAGUGUUUUAUGUAAAAACAUUGGAGGCCUACAGUACAUUAUUACAAACUUUAUAACAUACCAUUGUAGGAAAUACUAUAAAUUGUUUCUGAGAAUCUACGUCUAACAGUCGCUUCCCAAUCACCUAUGUCCAGUAGCCUUCAGAAAUAUCUAUUAGGAGGGAUUCACUUAUUCACAUCUCUUUUUUAAUCUGUCCUGGCCGCUAAAUAUUCGGGGCUGUGGGUUUGCGCUAAAGCUGUGGUAACGUAGUGUUAAAGUAUAUGCUCCACGUUCUGUCCCCGUUCUGUCCCUAACUAGGGGGUGUUUCAAUAAAAAAAAGUUUUUUUUUUAUAAUGGUUACAUGUUCAGUACACACCCCUGCAUUCUAUAUUAUUAAGUAGGCUGUUGGUCUUUGAGGUCUGUUAUGUCAAUUUGCCUUUAUACAUCUCAUUGACCUACUGUCAACUCCCUCAGUUGUAAACAUCUACAAUAAUCAUUAGACGUACGCGUCAGAGUUAUCAUACCCCGUGUCGGGGUUUGUACAGAGUUGGUUAAAUCAGCUCUUUUGCUCCCCACUUACAUGGCUAAUAAUCUCCAAGCUGCUCUAAAUGGUGAUGUUUUUGGUGUCUCUAGGUUCAUCUCUAGACUUUUGAAUGAGGCCUGUUACAACUUUCUGACAAAACCUUUAAAUGUAGUUUGUGAAACCAUUCAGUCGUGGAUGUAUGUAAAACAUAUUUAACACGUAUUGCAGGUUACAGAAGCCUCCUGUUGUACUAUGAAUCCCCACUCAACCCUGUUAGAUCUUGAUGUGUUGGCUGAAAUAUGAAAUUACCUCUUCCCCUAUCGUUAAAGCGUGAGAUACAUUUUUAAAACCAGUGAUUUAAUUCAAAAUAUUUAGUACCUACAUUUUAACACGUUAUAAUUCCAAAAUGUUUACUAUUGCUUACAGAUAGAGGGUCCGGUUAGCCCUGACCAUUAUCCGUUUCGAAUUCAUCAACUCAAAGACGCUUGCCCGCUCCAUCAAAACUCCAUCAUAAUGUACGUGCUGAUCGUGGUGCUGCAGCUGUGGAUGUUUGUGGUGCUGAUCCACUGCUACAACAAGAUCUGGGCUGAACACGAGGCGUGGGACGCCCGCAAAACCUUGAGGGCCCAAGAACUGGCCCUAAUAAACGAACCUUUAGACUCAAAGGACAAUUGUGAUGGAGUGCUUCUGGAGUGACUUGUUAUGGUAAACAUCAAAGGUGGAGAACUCUGUCACAAGCAGGUGUUACCACUACACUAGUAGGCUAUUACAUCAUAGAAACAUCAUUUGAAUGUCUUAGCAUAGUGUGUAACACAUGCGGUUUACAAUGUACUUGAUUUACUGUACGAGGUAGUUGCAGCUGGCGUGAGUGGUGAUUAGAUUGACAGGUGGUGCCGAACAGCCUUAGUGUGUCAACUCAACAGAGAAUGUCAUCACGUGAUGGAUCAACAGUUCUGACAAAGCUCUGAUUACAGAUGGUUCCACCUAAGCUACAUAGAACGCUUUGGCAGGAACAACCAUGCAUCUACAUAGAUAGAUCUCAUCUACGACCAUGUUGUUAAAGUUUAUUUUAAUCGCUUUGGUGCUAUUUUCACAACUCUUAAUCCAAAACUCCAAGCUGGUCACACAUGUAAUGC
ensembl:lncRNA